AACGAACGCUGGCGGCGCGCCUAAUACAUGCAAGUCGAGCGAGAAGACGUAGCAAUACGUUUGUAAAGCGGCGAACGGGUGAGGAAUACAUGGGUAACCUACCCUCGAGUGGGGAAGUAACUAGCCGAAAGGUUAGCUAAUACCGCGUACGCUCCUUGGACUUCGGUUCAGGGAGGGAAAGACGAUACCGUGGGUAGUCGCGCUCUUGG
rnacentral:rRNA from 1 species